rnacentral:rRNA from 1 species
GUUGUAUGGUUAAGUGACUAAGCGUACACGGUGGAUGCCUUGGCAGUCAGAGGCGAUGAAAGACGUAGUAACUUGCGAUAAGCCCAGAUUAGGUAGUAACAACCAUUUGAGUCUGGGAUUUCUGAAUGGGGAAACCCACUUACAUAAGUAAGUAUCAUUAACUGAAUACAUAGGUUAAUGAGGCGAACCGGGGGAACUGAAACAUCUAAGUACCCCGAGGAAAAGAAAUCAACCGAGAUUCCGAAAGUAGCGGCGAGCGAAAUUGGACUAGCCCUUAAGCUUUACACGCGUUAGACGAACGGUCUGGAAAGUCCGACGAUACAGGGUGAUAGUCCCGUAGUUGACGACGUGUGUUCAGUGAAAUCGAGUAGGGCGGGACACGUGAUAUCCUGUCUGAAUAUGGGGGGACCAUCCUCCAAGGCUAAAUACUACUGACUGACCGAUAGUGAACCAGUACCGUGAGGGAAAGGCGAAAAGAACCCCUGUGAGGGGAGUGAAAUAGAACCUGAAACCGUGUACGUACAAGCAGUAGGAGCAGGCUUGUCCUGUGACUGCGUACCUUUUGUAUAAUGGGUCAGCGACUUAUAUUCAGUGGCAAGGUUAACCAUCUAGGGGAGCCGUAGGGAAACCGAGUCUUAACUGGGCGUUCAGUCUCUGGAUAUAGACCCGAAACCAGGUGAUCUAGCCAUGGGCAGGUUGAAGGUUGAGUAACAUCAACUGGAGGACCGAACCGACUAAUGUUGAAAAAUUAGCGGAUGACUUGUGGCUAGGGGUGAAAGGCCAAUCAAACCUGGAGAUAGCUGGUUCUCCCCGAAAGCUAUUUAGGUAGCGCCUCGGACGAAUACUACUGGGGGUAGAGCACUGUUAAGGCUAGGGGGUCAUCCCGACUUACCAACCCUUUGCAAACUCCGAAUACCAGUAAGUACUAUCCGGGAGACACACGGCGGGUGCUAACGUCCGUCGUGGAGAGGGAAACAACCCAGACCGCCAGCUAAGGUCCCAAAUUACUACUAAGUGGGAAACGAUGUGGGAAGGCUCAGACAGCCAGGAUGUUGGCUUAGAAGCAGCCAUCAUUUAAAGAAAGCGUAAUAGCUCACUGGUCGAGUCGGCCUGCGCGGAAGAUGUAACGGGGCUAAGUAGUAAACCGAAGCUGCGGCAAUGUGCUUUUGCACAUUGGGUAGGGGAGCGUUCUGUAAGCGGUUGAAGGUGUGUGGUAACGCAUGCUGGACGUAUCAGAAGUGCGAAUGCUGACAUGAGUAACGAUAAAGGGGGUGAAAAACCUCCUCGCCGGAAGACCAAGGGUUCCUGUCCAACGUUAAUCGGGGCAGGGUAAGUCGACCCCUAAGGCGAGGCCGAAAGGCGUAGUCGAUGGGAAACGGGUUAAUAUUCCCGUACUUCUUACAAUUGCGAUGGGGGGACGGAGAAGGCUAGGUGGGCCUGGCGACGGUUGUCCAGGUUCAAGUGCGUAGGCUUAAGAGUUAGGUAAAUCCGGCUCUUUUUAAGGCUGAGACACGACGUCGAGCUACUACGGUAGUGAAGUCAUUGAUGCCAUGCUUCCAGGAAAAGCCUCUAAGCUUCAGAUUGUAAGGAAUCGUACCCCAAACCGACACAGGUGGUCGGGUAGAGAAUACCAAGGCGCUUGAGAGAACUCGGGUGAAGGAACUAGGCAAAAUGGUACCGUAACUUCGGGAGAAGGUACGCUCUUGAUGGUGAAGUCCCUCGCGGAUGGAGCUGACGAGAGUCGCAGAUACCAGGUGGCUGCAACUGUUUAUUAAAAACACAGCACUGUGCAAAAUCGUAAGAUGACGUAUACGGUGUGACGCCUGCCCGGUGCCGGAAGGUUAAUUGAUGGGGUUAGACUUCGGUCGAAGCUCUUGAUCGAAGCCCCGGUAAACGGCGGCCGUAACUAUAACGGUCCUAAGGUAGCGAAAUUCCUUGUCGGGUAAGUUCCGACCUGCACGAAUGGCGUAAUGAUGGCCACGCUGUCUCCACCCGAGACUCAGUGAAAUUGAAAUCGCUGUGAAGAUGCAGUGUACCCGCGGCUAGACGGAAAGACCCCGUGAACCUUUACUACAGCUUGGCACUGAACAUUGACCCUACAUGUGUAGGAUAGGUGGGAGGCUUUGAAGCACGUACGCCAGUAUGUGUGGAGCCGUCCUUGAAAUACCACCCUUGUAGUGUUGAUGUUCUAACGUCGACCCCUUAUCGGGGUUGCGGACAGUGCCUGGUGGGUAGUUUGACUGGGGCGGUCUCCUCCCAAAGAGUAACGGAGGAGCACGAAGGUGGGCUAAUCACGGUUGGACAUCGUGAGGUUAGUGCAAUGGCAUAAGCCCGCUUGACUGCGAGAAUGACAAUUCGAGCAGGUGCGAAAGCAGGUCAUAGUGAUCCGGUGGUUCUGAAUGGAAGGGCCAUCGCUCAACGGAUAAAAGGUACUCCGGGGAUAACAGGCUGAUACCGCCCAAGAGUUCAUAUCGACGGCGGUGUUUGGCACCUCGAUGUCGGCUCAUCACAUCCUGGGGCUGAAGUCGGUCCCAAGGGUAUGGCUGUUCGCCAUUUAAAGUGGUACGCGAGCUGGGUUUAGAACGUCGUGAGACAGUUCGGUCCCUAUCUGCCGUGGGCGUUGGAAGAUUGAAGGGGGCUGCUCCUAGUACGAGAGGACCGGAGUGGACGAACCUCUGGUGUUCGGGUUGUGUCGCCAGACGCAUUGCCCGGUAGCUAAGUUCGGAAUCGAUAACCGCUGAAAGCAUCUAAGCGGGAAGCGAGCCCUGAGAUGAGUCUUCCCUGAUACUUUAAGUAUCCUAAAGGGUUGUCGGAGACUACGACGUUGAUAGGUCAGGUGUGUAAGUGCUGUGAGGCAUUGAGCUAACUGAUACUAAUUGCCCGUGAGGCUUAACCAUACAACACCCAAGGGGUUU